rnacentral:rRNA from 1 species
CCCCGGGGUAUUCCAGCUGUCCAAUAGCGUAUAUUAAAAUUGUUGCGGUCUAAAAAGCUCGUAGAUUUGAAAACUUGCCUUGGCAUUACAAUCGGUCCUUAUGGGCCACCGGUUUGUUGAGCGCAAAUAUGGAUGACUGUUUUUGCCGACUUAGUUGUUUGGCUUACAAGAGUUAUCAAAUAUCACUUUGAUUAAAUUAGAGUGCUUAAAGCAAGUGUGUUACUUGGAUAUAAAUGCAUGGAAUGAUGGAAUAUGUUGUUGUUCUAUUUGUUGGUUUUGGAACGAUGAAAUGAUUGAAAGGAACUGUUGGGGGCAUUCGUAUUGUUGUGAGAGAGGUGAAAUUCUUAGACCACAGCAAGACGAACUACUGCGAAAGCAUUUGCCAAGAAUGUUUUCAUUGAUCAAGAACGAAAGUUAGAGGUUCGAAGGCGAUCAGAUACCGCCCUAGUUCUAACCAUAAACGAUGCCAAA